GACAGAGGGUGCGAACGUUGCUCGGAAUUACUGGGCGUAAAGCGCGUGUAGGCGGGUGAUCAAGUCAGAUGUGAAAUCCCUGGCUCAACCCAGGAACUGCAUUUGAAACUGGUCGCCUUGAGUGUUGGAGAGGGAAGCGGAAUUCCUGGUGUAGAGGUGAAAUUCGUAGAUAUCAGGAGGAACACCGGUGGCGAAGGCGGCUUCCUGGACA
rnacentral:rRNA from 1 species